GAUGAACGCUGGCGGCGUGCCUAAUACAUGCAAGUCGAGCGAACGGACGAGAAGCUUGUUUUUCUGAGGUUAGCGGCGGACGGGUGAGUAACGCGUGGAUAACCUACCUAUAAGACGGGGAUAACAUCGGGAAACCGGAGCUAAUACCGGAUAAUAUUUUGAACCGCAUGGUUCAAGAGUGAAAGACGCUCUUGCUGACACUUAAAGAGGGAUCCGCGCUGCAUUAGCUGGUUGGUAAGGUAACGGCCUACCAAGGCAACGAUGCAUAGCGGACCUGAGAGGGUGAUCGGCCACACUGGAACUGAGACACGGUCCAGACUCCUACGGGAGGCAGCAGUAGGGAAUCUUGCGCAAAGGGCGAAAGCCUGACGGAGCAACGCCGCGUGAGUGAUGAAGGUCUUCGGAUCGUAAAACCCUUUUAUUAGGAAAGAACAUAUGUGUAAGUAAAUGUGCAUAUCUUGACGGUACCUAAUCAGAAAGCCACGGCUAACUACGUG
rnacentral:rRNA from 1 species